UACAGCAGAAAUAAAAGACUCUCCCAGAGCUGUAUGGGGAAAUAAUUCCCAUUCGUCUAGAAAUACUUUAAAUAUCUAUUUUUAUGUGGUUUUCUGAUAUGUUUGAUUUUAACCAAUGUUUCCCAUUUAUUCCAAAGAUGAGAAAACACUGAACUACUAAGGCAAACCUAUUGGAGCAGAUCAUCCUCCCACUGAAGUGCAUAGCUAUUUCGACUUCACUAUAGAAAGGAUCCAGCCCCAUUGCUUGCUACGACUGAGGCGGUACCUUCCCCUAGGAUGGAAAUGCUCUCAGACUCGGGAAGCUGAUCUUUUAAAAUCCUUACUUCUCUAGCUCUGGGAUGCAGUUUUAUUUUUGUUCCUGUCAAGAGUCACUGCUACAGUCUUAAUUCACCCCCAAAUGCUUGGGAAUGGAUUUAAGUGUUCUGAUCUGAGGGAGAGAAACACCGACACUGCUUGUUCAGUCCAAUGCCUUUCCCGGGCAGUUCGCUUUGAUUACAGUACAUCGGCCAAUCUCUUCAAACUGCACUAUGGAAUCAGUGGGCCAGGUUACUUCACGGUUCUCCACCUCCUCACCCCGCCAGCAGCCCCGAGGGUUGUCUUAGAAGCCCUGUCUUCUCCAGGGUUCUAAUUUAGAGCUUUCCCCGGAUCGCUCGCGUUCUUUGCAGACACCUAACAACUAUUUACCAGCCUCACGUUUGAAGCGCACAAACCAUUUAGCGCGGGAUUAUCGAACUUCACAGACAAGCAACGGAAAGCCCCUGAGAGCUCACAAUCCAUCCCCCUCCCUCUGGAAGAUUCCUAUCAGAUAAUAGGCCAAACACUGCCUCAUUGAAAGGGAGGGGAAGGGAAGCUUGUUUAGCCAGGUACUUUGCAUUACAAUAUUACCUGUGGGUGGUUUGGGGGGAGGAAUGUAAAUCUGCCUGUAUGGGAGAAGGGUUGGUCCUGCCUGGUCUUCUGCAAGGGCCUCCUGCUGGGAGCAAAAAUGAACUUUUGACUGCUUCUCAUUAUUAAGGCUGAUUUAAACAAUUUCGCCGGAUAGCAGCCAGAAAGAGGGGGAUAGGGAGUAUCCAGAUUCUCGUCCUUCUUGCCUCCCUAAACACACACACACACACACACACACACACAUUUAGACUUUGUCUCAGCACCCCACCCCUGAGUCAUUUUCUCACCCUCAGUGCUUUUGCUUUCCUGGAUGUGAAUUUGUGAUCAGUCCUUUAAGUUUACAUCACCGCUCAUAUUCUGCCUCAAAGGUUUAAUUAUGCUGGGAGAACUUGUUUAAAGCAGGGAACAUUAAUACCUUUGAAUAGUAAGCAUAGUGAAACACUGAUAACAGCGCCCCUGCAAAAUGAGUUUAUUGCCUUGCUUUCCUGGGUGUAUUGUUGCAGACAACUUUGCAAGCACAUAAUUUGUUUGGGUCUGACACUGGGUUGUUGGUGCAUGCAUGUUAAGUAUAAUAUCUGACAUUAGCUUCGGCCUUGUUUAUGAAGUUUACAGGAAAAAAUACAACUGCAAACAGAUGCUUUCAAACACAUUCAAGUGGGCCAGCUGUUUUUUAAAUCAGGCCUCUCUCAAAGCCAGUUUUCUUCAUUAUAUCAUUCCCGACAGACACCAUGAAAUACAUCACUCAUUUAGAUAUGGAAGCAGACUCUGGAAGAGGACUUGUGUGGAACACUUUGAUGUUAAGAGACAGAUUUCAAAAGGCAGAAAACUUAUUCGAUGUUUCUAAUUACAGCCCAUUCUGGGCCUGUCACUGAUUAUUGCAUAGUACCUAUGCUACAUAAACUGGGAGUGUUGUUAAAAACACAAUCUAGGCAUCAAGAGUAUGCUGAGACCAGCUGUCUGUAG